rnacentral:lncRNA from 10 species
CAUAAGAUCUUUUCAAAUGGGGAGAGGAAUCUAUCUGCUUUUAAUUCCUGGGGUUCCAUGAGGAUAGCAGAGGUCUCUCCCCACUCAGAUGUGCAUUAAAAGUGGCAAGGCAAAAUCGAGAAAAAUAAUUUAGUCAACUGAAAAAAACCUUUUCCCGGCUUAGUCUGGGAGGUCGUAGUAGUAGUGAGAAAAAGUGAUGUAGGAUGACAUUACCAUUUGUUUAAAAUACUCUCCUUUCUCCAUUGAAUUGCUUUUGCACAUUUAUUAUAAAAAUCAAUUGGCCAUGUUUGUAUGGGUCUAUUUCUGGACUCUCUUACAUUUUCUUGGUGUAUUUGUCUAUUCAUUUGCCAAUAUUGCAGUGUCUUGAUUACUGUAGAUUUAAUACUAAGUCUUAGAAUUGAGUAAUGUGAUUCCUCCAACUUUAUUAUUCAUUUUCAAAAUUGUUGUAGCUAUUCUAGUUCCUUUACAUUUCCAUAUAAAUUUUAUAAUUAGCUUUUCUUUCUUUCUUUUUUUUUUUUUUGAGACGGAGUCUUGCUCUGUUGCCCAAGAAUACUGAAUUAACUUCACACUGCAACAAGCUUUCACUAGAAAACAAAGAGCUCACACAGGAAACAAGUGAUAUGACCCUAGAACUCAAGAAUCAGCAAGAAGAUAUUAAUGUGAGUUGAAAAAGAAAGUGCUGGUGACUUAGUUUUCUUCCAAUUAGCAGGUUAGAAUAGAUGACCUCUAAAGACCCUUUGACCUUUAAAGUCUGAUUGCUUUAGAGCUAAAACUUUGUUUUAGCAGAAAAAUAUGCAUAUUGGUCUUAUAGGGUGGUAAUAGGCAACAGAGGCUA